rnacentral:rRNA from 1 species
GGCUUAUAAUUGAAGUCUGGCAUGAAUGAAUUAAUGGGGAGUUACUGUCUUUUUGGGUUUUCAAGAACUUACUUAACAAGUGAAAAUACUUGUAAAUAAAUAAUAGACGAGAAGACCCUAGAAAUUUUUUUAAUAUUGGUUUUAUAUCUAAUUAAUUUUGCUGGGGCGGCAGAAUAACAUUAAACUUAUUUUAAUAAAUUUGAACUAUCUACUGAGUAAAAGUAAAUUACUCUAGGGAUAACAGCAUAAUUUUACAAAGUUUGUGACCUCGAUGUUGGACUAGGGACUUUAGUGUUUAGAAGAUACUAAAUCAGGCUCUGU